AAUUGUUUCUUUUUUUCCUGAGAAAAAGUUGUGCUAUUUACUAAUUUUGUUUGUUGGCUAAGUCAAGAGCUUAGUUUGGUAAAGCUUGCUCUGGGUUUGAAACUGAUGAAGAUCUCUAGGUCUGAUCUGUGUCUGACAGUGGCUGAGUUAGAACAGACAGUUUGGAAAUUACUUUUAUUGAAACAAGUCAGUAACUCAGCUUUAGCUCCAAGAUUGUGUUCAUUUUAAAGCACUCUUGCCCGUAAGUUUCAUUUGCUUUUUAUGACUAAAUGAAGUUGUUCUGAUAAAUAGAUGAGGUUGAAGUUCAUAGAUGCUUUAGUGGUCAGCUAUCCAGGAUCCUUCAACAACUUUGUGUAUUUAAAAGUAGGCACAAAAGAAUCAUGCUUGGAACUGGAAGAUUAUUAGCUUUUUUGACACAAUCUAAAAUUGUCACCUCCAGCUCAGGCCUGAUUUUUUCAUUAAACUACUUGAUUCUUAGUCAUCUUCUUGCUUCAGGAAAGUCUGAACACUCUGUUAUUUAAUACACCUCUGUGUAUCCAGAGUUCGUAUGAUGUUUGCUUUUCUCAGUCCUUUUUGUAGAUUUUUAGGAAAUAAGUGAUAGUUCAUCCCCGCUGCCAGGAUGGGCUUUGAUGGAGCAGUGCUCCACUUGCAGACCAAGUGGGAAUUUCCUUUCCCUUUUGUCUUUUUCUUUUUCUUAUGGCUUAGAGGGACGUUAAGGGAAGAACACCUCAUCCCUUAGAAUUUUGGAAUUUUAUAACUUGCUAGGCAGCAACACAUAGAUCUAGAUUCCACUACACAUUUUUUGUCAUUGAUGAGCUCUGAAUUUUUGGUUAAUUUGUAUACCCUCUUUGGUUUUAAUUUGUCCAUCACAAAAAAAUGCUGUUGAUAAUAGUGUUUAAGAAUGGUUUUGCUAAGACUUUAAAAUGAAAUGUAGUAUCCUUGAAAAGCCUAAAUCAGCUAAGAGCUAAAUUCAUGGAUAAGGUGAAAAUUACAAAAUGUAAAUACUGACAACUUCACUAAUUUUAUAAUCAGGUAGUUUUAAAGUACCAUUAAGUAAGAAGUUAUGACUGGGGAAGAGCACAACUCCAAAGCACAAAAUCACAUCUAAUGAUAGAGAUAGCCCACGUCAGGAGGAAUGUCUAAAAUGGCUAUUGUUUCAUUGAUUUGAAUUUUAGCAAAUU